rnacentral:rRNA from 1 species
UACGUAGGGGGCUAGCGUUGUCCGGAAUCAUUGGGCGUAAAGCGCGUGUAGGCGGCCCGGUAAGUCCGCCGUGAAAGUCGGGGGCUCAACCCUCGGAAGCCGGUGGAUACUGUCGGGCUCGAGUACGGAAGAGGCGAGUGGAAUUCCUGGUGUAGCGGUGAAAUGCGCAGAUAUCAGGAGGAACACCAAUUGCGAAGGCAGCUCGCUGGGACGUAACUGACGCUGAGACGCGAAAGCGUGGGGAGCAAACAGG